rnacentral:tRNA from 1 species
ACUCUUGUGGCUCACUUGGUAGAGCAUGGCACUUGCAAUGCCAGGGCUGUGAUUCAAUUCCCACAGGGGGC